rnacentral:lncRNA from 1 species
AGGUUAAGUGACUUCUCAGGCUGAUGCAGCCAAUAUGUGGCAAAAGCAGGAUGUAAAUCCAGGUCUUCUUGACUCCAAGGCCAGUUCUUUAUCCACUGUUCCAGACUGAUUCUCCCAUCAUUACUAGUCAUAAACUACAAAAUAUUACAAAAUAGCAACCCAAGAACCACAUGGUUUAAACCUUCUAUAAACACCAAGAAAACUACUUAUCCUGACAUCUUUAUCCAAUGACCAAUAAGUUGACACACUACUAGAGUAAUAGCACUGAUGUGCUAAGUAUAAAUGAAACCAAAAGACAAAAUCAAGUGAUGGUUUAAUAGAAAAAAUGGUGCACCCAUUCUCUCUUGAGAGAAUGACUUCCACAAUAACACCAAGUCACUUCCUGUCUGGUAAAGUAGAAACAAUUUCAUUUUUUUAUGACAUUGUCUUGUGUUCAUCCUGAUUGUUUUCACCAGGAAAGUACUUCAUAUGCAAAGGUUUGAGACUUCUGGGUCUUCUAUAACCUUUGACUUUUUUCUUACUCCUGAGCCAGAUUUCCUAACAUGCUCCUUGCCUAACUCAAUAUUGAAGUCUCUGAGUAUCUAAGUGCAUGUUGAUUUAAUUGGAAGGAUGUCAUCUAUUUCUUCAUAGAAUUUCUCUCCCAUUUUAUCCAAUAGUCCAGUCUGUAAGUCACAGUUUUUCCCCAUGGUGAUCUUUUUGCAAAUUACCAAACUUCUCAACUCUGCCAAUUUCUUCAAUUUUUCUCUUUUAGGAGAGUGAGCAGAUAUGUCUACUUUCUUUAGAUCUAUAUCACAUUUUUAGGGGACUAACCCUUGAAAACAUUGAAAGCAUCCUUGAAGGAGGUAUUAAAGAGAACAGAGAAAAAUACCAUCUUUAUAGACUGUCCACCAAAAUGAUGUCUGCCCUAUGUGUGAGAAAAUUAUCAGAGAGUCCUGGAAAGAUACAAUAACAGAGAAAACAGAGUUUAAUGUCAUCUGGUCAGAUACUAUGUAGAGGAAGGGGAGUAGAGGAGAAGGUUGGACAUUUUCCAAGAACAGAGGAGAAAUCCCAGGGUCUCCUCCUGUAUAUAUUAUAUUCAGGUACAGAAUGGUCCAAUGUGCUAGAAAUUUGGCAUUAAAAAUGAAGAGUUCAUAACUCCAU